CCCUGUGCGGUGGGUUGGGGCCAUAAAUCACAAUGGGGUGGGGGGGUCCCUCCCCUCCUCCAUUGUGAUUUAUGGCCCCCACCCACUGCACAGGG